UGCACCAGAGAAAGUGAAAGUCUUGUAGUCGAAAACUAAACAGAUAGAAGCAGUAUCCCGAGUAGCAUGGAGCACGUGAAAUUCCAUGUGAAUCAGCCGGGACCACCCGGUAAGGCUAAAUACGUCUGCGUGACCGAUAGCGAAACAGUACCGCG
rnacentral:rRNA from 1 species